AACGAACGCUGGCGGCAUGCCUAACACAUGCAGGUCGAACGAAGCCUUCGGGCUUAGUGGCGCGCGGGUGCGUAACGCGUGGGAAUCUGCCUCUUGCUUCGGAAUAACAGUUAGAAGUGACUGCUAAUACCGGAUGAUGUCUUCGGACCAAAGAUUUAUCGGCAAGAGAUGAGCCCGCGUAGGAUUAGGUAGUUGGUGGGGUAAAGGCCUACCAAGCCGACGAUCCUUAGCUGGUCUGAGAGGAUGAUCAGCCACACUGGGACUGAGACACGGCCCAGACUCCUACGGGAGGCAGCAGUGGGGAAUAUCGGACAAUGGGUGCAACCCUGAUCCAGCAAUGCCGCGUGAGUGAUGAAGGCCUUAGGGUUGUAAAGCUCUUUUACCAGGGAUGAUAAUGACAGUACCUGGAGAAUAAGCUCCGGCUAACUCCGUGCCAGCCGCCGCAGUAAGAC
rnacentral:rRNA from 1 species